rnacentral:lncRNA from 1 species
UUAAACUAUCAUGGGAAUCUGCAUUUUUGUAAUUACCUAUUAUUCUAAUUAUAACAAUAAUCUAAAAGGUAAUGCCACUAACAUGCUUUCUUGUUUGUUUUUAAGAAGAUUAGAUUACAAGAAUCACCACUAAAAUUUAAACAAGUGGAACGGGACCGUCAACAGUGUUUGUUUAACACUUCCACCUGCAAAUUUUCUUGAAAAGUUCUCAAACAUUGACGAUCACAGGACCAGUGCA